rnacentral:lncRNA from 1 species
AACUCAUAAGCCUCUCUAUCUCUCUCCUCCUGAAUCAAACAAACACUGUUCACUUACUUGACCAAUCAAUAAAGCAUCCUCCUCCAUUUCACGAGAUCUUCGUUCUCAAUCUUCUCUGCAAUCUAGGGUUUCAGAUCUCAAUCUCUACCUCGAAUCCGUUCCCCAAUCAUGAGUCGGGAGAAGCUAAGGUUCUUCACCCUCUCGUUUCUUCUGAUCCUGAGUCCAGCGCUCUGUAGAUUCGUCGUGGAGAAGAACAACCUCAAAGUCACAUCACCCGACUCCAUCAAAGGCAUUUACGAGUGUGCCAUUGGGAACUUCGGAGUUCCUCAGUACGGUGGUACUUUAGUCGGCACCGUUGCCUAUCCCAAAUCGAAUCAGAAAGCUUGUAAAAGCUACAACGAUUUCGACAUCUCCUUCAAAUCUAAGCCUGGGGGCUUACCCACUUUUGUCCUCAUCGAUCGUGGAGGUUCCAUCUUACCCUUUGCUCAAUUAGGUUCAUAGUAUGUGGGAAUGAUUUAGUUUUUGGUUUUAGUAUGUGAAAAAGAUUCAGUUUUUGGUUAUAGUAUGUGGAAAAGAUUCAAUUUUUGAUUAUGGUGUGAGGAAGAUAUAUCAUUGUUUGGUUAUAAUAUGUGGAAAAGAUUCAGUUUUUGGUUAUAGUAUUUUGGAAAGGUUCAGUUUUUGGGUUUAGUAUGUGGAAAAGACUCAGUUUUUGGUUAUAGUAUGCGGAAAAUAUUCAAUUUUAGUAAUAGUAUAUGAAAAAAAAUCAAUUUUGGUUAUAGUAUGUGGAAAAAAUUCGUUUUUUGAUUAUAAUAUGUGGAAAAAGUUCAAUUUUUUGGUUAUAUUUUUCUGGAAAGAUUCAAACUCUGGUUAUAGUAUUUUGAAUAAUAUUCAGUUUUUGGUUAUGUUUUCUGGAAAAGAUUCAAUUUUUGGUUAUAGUUUGUGGAAAAGAUUUGUAUUUUGGAACUGAAUGUGAGUUUGUUUUUGUGAACACAGACUGUUUCUUUACUUUGAAAGCAUGGAUAGCUCAACAAGCUGGAGCAGCAGCGAUUCUUGUAGCUGACAACAAAGCUGAGCCAUUGAUCACUAUGGAUACACCUGAAGAGGAUAAGUCAGAUGCGGAUUAUCUUCAAAACAUUACCAUUCCUUCAGCUCUCAUCACCAAGUCUUUGGGAGACAGUAUAAAGUCUGCUCUCUCCGGUGGUAAUAAGUUUACAUUUUUGUUUUCUUUAAUUAAAAUAUGUUAAACUGGUACAGUAGGUUAAUUAACCUAAUAAACCGAUAAACUUAAAUAAAAUUGAAUCAAUAUAUAUAUAUAUAUAUAUUUAUACCAAAUAUGAUAUAUAAGUUGAUGUAUAAAUCUAUUUGUAAUUAUAUUUAUUUUAUUUUUCACUAUUGUGAUAUAUAGUUUUAAUAUCAAGCACCCGCCAACGUGCAGAAAAUUCAGAUCUUCUAAUUUUCAGUAAAGUAUGAAAAAUAUUAAGGUAAUCAACAAUGUUUUAGUUCCAGUGAUGAUGAUAACAAAUAUAGUCUUAUUGUCUGUAAUGUGAUUUGGUUAACUUUUCUCAAUUUUUUAUAAGUUCAUUACGAAGUGAAGAAGAAGACAGAGAGAGAUAAUAAAACAACCAAUAGACGCCAAUCCAUUGGAAAUAGUGCUUUCUAGGAGAUCCCAACCCAAGUUAUAAGAAAAUCAUCACCAAACCGGAGCUCUCGAGGCUCAAAACCAUCAUGUAAAAUUUCAAACACUAACAUUACUUUUAGGAGAGGGAGAAGAACAACAAAGGAUAACCAGGCUGCACUAUUUUCUUUUCCAAUUUAUCUAAUAUUAAGAGAAAAAAAAAAUUCACAAGACCCAAGUUUUAGUGUUGAAUAAUAGUAAGGUGAAUUGUUUGCUAAUGUUUCUUACAAUCAAACAGGAGAUAAUGAGAGGAGCAAGUGGGUGACAGGUCGUACCACCCUGCUGCCAUCUCACCAAGCAGGGUUGGAAUCCUACAAAUGCCUUUAAUAAGAAGAAUUACUAGGCCAUUGUGCCACAGAUGAUAAAAAAAAAUUAAGUUGAAGAUAACUGAUGAGUAUUACGAUUCUGAAUAAAACAUCUAUCAUUUUUUUUUUUUUGAAAAACAGAUGAAUUUUGUCGGCCAAUUAUGUAUUGGCAGUAUCCCCAUAUUCAAUAAUUCAACUUUCCAAAUUUGACUUACAAAUAAGAAAUUUGUGAAUUUAUGACACGAGUGAAUUGGAUAUGAACAGGAAGAAAUAAUAUUUUACCAUUGAAUUCUGAUCAAUUAAGAUUAUUUAUUUUUAAGAUUUUUUUAUAAUUUAAAUUAGUAUUUAAAUAUCUAGAUGAAAGAAAUUAUAAGUUAUUAUUAAGCUACAGAAAUGGUAUAUCAGUAUCUUAAAAAUGUUGCUUCAAGAAGUUGUAGUAGGAAAUAGUUUUCAUAAUUUAUGUCUCAUGUUACAAUAUAAAAAACUUGCCCUAACAAUAAAUAAAAUUAAAUAGCCAACUAAUCAUGGCAACUACAGCAAAUGUAGUUGGACACAUUCUCAUGAUGUUAGAAACUAACCACUACAAUCCAAAAAUAGAAACAAACUCAUAGUUGGACUGCUUUUAAAUAUGUACAUACGAAUUAAAAUAUUUACAUUGUAAAACAUACAUUCUAACUCAUUUUAAACUAUAUUAUUAAUCAAUGAUGGGGAGUUGCAAAACAUAAGUAAUUGAAAAUAUAAAUUUGUUGUGGUGACAAGAAAUUAUCUCCAAAAUAUUCAAGGUAAUAACAAAUAUAAAUUUAAAGGCUUAUAAUACAUACUGAUUAAUAAAUUUUAUUUAAAAAGAAAUUAUUAUUUAGCUAAGAAGAUUAUCAUCAAGAAAACAUAACUAAGAGCAAUUUUAGUGCGACAUAUUCGAAGCUUUCUAUGUAUUCUAAACUCAAUUUUAGUAUUUUGGCAAACAAAUAAAAAAAAUAUUACAAAAAUGAGAGAAAAAAUGUUAUAUGCAACAAAAAUCAGAGCAUGUCUCUCCUAAAAUACUAUAUUCUACACACUAGAUAGUUUAUGAACACAAAAACAUUGUACAAUAUUUGAUAUUAACAUAACAAAAUCAUUAAUAUAAUUUAAAUAGUAAUUAUUCGCGCGUAGCGCGGAAAACGACCUAGUAAACAUAAAUUUACGGAGACGACAAAGAAGAACAAUUCCAUUAAAAUUCCUUUUUCAAUUUAGUUAACUCAUAAGAUUCAUGUAUCUAUUAUCUCUAAUCGUAAUAAGUCGUAACAAUAGAAAUUAUAAUAACAAUAGAUAAACCUUCCUUCUCUUCCUUAACUCAUAAGCCUCUCUAUCUCUCUCCUCCUGAAUCAAACAAACACUGUUCACUUACUUGACCAAUCAAUAAAGCAUCCUCCUCCAUUUCACGAGAUCUUCGUUCUCAAUCUUCUCUGCAAUCUAGGGUUUCAGAUCUCAAUCUCUACCUCGAAUCCGUUCCCCAAUCAUGAGUCGGGAGAAGCUAAGGUUCUUCACCCUCUCGUUUCUUCUGAUCCUGAGUCCAGCGCUCUGUAGAUUCGUCGUGGAGAAGAACAACCUCAAAGUCACAUCACCCGACUCCAUCAAAGGCAUUUACGAGUGUGCCAUUGGGAACUUCGGAGUUCCUCAGUACGGUGGUACUUUAGUCGGCACCGUUGCCUAUCCCAAAUCGAAUCAGAAAGCUUGUAAAAGCUACAACGAUUUCGACAUCUCCUUCAAAUCUAAGCCUGGGGGCUUACCCACUUUUGUCCUCAUCGAUCGUGGAGGUUCCAUCUUACCCUUUGCUCAAUUAGGUUCAUAGUAUGUGGGAAUGAUUUAGUUUUUGGUUUUAGUAUGUGAAAAAGAUUCAGUUUUUGGUUAUAGUAUGUGGAAAAGAUUCAAUUUUUGAUUAUGGUGUGAGGAAGAUAUAUCAUUGUUUGGUUAUAAUAUGUGGAAAAGAUUCAGUUUUUGGUUAUAGUAUUUUGGAAAGGUUCAGUUUUUGGGUUUAGUAUGUGGAAAAGACUCAGUUUUUGGUUAUAGUAUGCGGAAAAUAUUCAAUUUUAGUAAUAGUAUAUGAAAAAAAAUCAAUUUUGGUUAUAGUAUGUGGAAAAAAUUCGUUUUUUGAUUAUAAUAUGUGGAAAAAGUUCAAUUUUUUGGUUAUAUUUUUCUGGAAAGAUUCAAACUCUGGUUAUAGUAUUUUGAAUAAUAUUCAGUUUUUGGUUAUGUUUUCUGGAAAAGAUUCAAUUUUUGGUUAUAGUUUGUGGAAAAGAUUUGUAUUUUGGAACUGAAUGUGAGUUUGUUUUUGUGAACACAGACUGUUUCUUUACUUUGAAAGCAUGGAUAGCUCAACAAGCUGGAGCAGCAGCGAUUCUUGUAGCUGACAACAAAGCUGAGCCAUUGAUCACUAUGGAUACACCUGAAGAGGAUAAGUCAGAUGCGGAUUAUCUUCAAAACAUUACCAUUCCUUCAGCUCUCAUCACCAAGUCUUUGGGAGACAGUAUAAAGUCUGCUCUCUCCGGUGGCGACAUGGUGAACAUGAAGCUGGACUGGACUGAGUCUGUUCCUCAUCCCGAUGAGCGUGUGGAAUACGAGCUCUGGACCAACAGCAACGACCAGUGUGGGAAGAAGUGCGAUACUCAGAUUGAGUUUCUCAAGAAUUUCAAAGGAGCUGCUCAGAUUCUUGAGAAAGGAGGGCAUACUCAGUUCACGCCGCACUACAUCACCUGGUACUGCCCUGAGGCUUUUACGCUGAGUAAACAGUGCAAGUCUCAGUGUAUCAACCAUGGAAGAUACUGUGCGCCUGAUCCUGAGCAGGAUUUUACUAAAGGGUAUGAUGGGAAAGAUGUUGUCGUUCAGAAUCUACGCCAGGCUUGCGUCUAUAGAGUCAUGAACGAGACCGGUAAGCCGUGGGUCUGGUGGGACUAUGUGACUGACUUCGCCAUCCGGUGUCCGAUGAAGGAUAAGAAGUACACCAAGGAGUGCGCAGACGAAAUUAUCAAGUCACUUGGUGAGUAUAAUGCUUCAUUACCCUGCUGUGAUAUCAUUUCAUCAAGCGCAAGUAUAUAGUAAAUACAUCUUUAUAUCAAAUAUAGAGAAACAAACAGACUGAUAGCAAUCACUCAAUCAGCUUACCUUACCUUGUAAGGCUGUUGAAGCCUAAUAUAUGAGCAAAGGAUCUUUUGUUACUUUCGUGUUUUGUGCAUUUCAUUGUGACUAUCAGCUGGCUAAUCUCUGAAUGCUCGUUCUGUUGUAUGCAUUCAGACAUUGAUCUCAAGAAGGUGGACAAGUGUAUCGGAGACCCUGACGCAGAUGUCGAGAACCCAGUUCUUAAAGCAGAGCAGGAGUCCCAGGUUUGUCGUUUGCAACUCUUCUCUUCUAGAUCUUGUUGUUUUGAAGCUCUCAAUUCCGUUUUGUGAUAUUCACGAAAUGAGUUUGUUUCAGAUUGGCAAAGGUGCCCGUGGAGACGUGACUAUACUCCCAACUCUUGUCGUGAACAACAGACAAUACAGAGGUAUUAGAGAACAACUGACCUGUCAGAGUUGCCUUUUUCUGCAGCAUCUCACGUUUUCUUUGCUAACUCAAAUAUUUUUUCAUGGGAUUAGGUAAAUUGGAAAAAGGGGGAGUGCUGAAAGCUAUGUGUUCAGGUUUUGAAGAGUCAACAGAACCAGCUAUAUGUCUAACCGAAGGUCCGGUCCUAUAUUCUCCACUGACUUUCACAACUCUCUUUGUCAUUUUCAGAUAUCACAUUCUCUCUUGAUAUACAGACAUUAAAGUUUUGGUGACUUCUUGCAUUUGUAGUUCUCCUUAGUGUUUUACAUGUUUUGAGAUACGUUUCCUGGUUUUUGCAGAUUUAAACACUAAUGAAUGUUUGGAAAACAACGGUGGAUGCUGGCAAGACAAAGCUGCCAACAUAACUGCAUGCCGGGUAACAUUUGGGCUUGCUAGUUUUUUUUUCUCUUUUUAAAUUUUGGUUUUGGUGUGCAACUAAGACUCAUUAGAUUUGAUCUGAAUCUGCAUUUUAGGAUACUUUUAGGGGAAGACUGUGUGAAUGCCCUACUGUUCAAGGUGUUAAAUUUUCUGGUGACGGCUACACUCACUGCAAAGGUAUAUCAGUUUUAUCUCCCUGUAGGCAGCUUGACAUAUUUUGUGUUGGAACGGGAUGCAAAAUAAUGGCAUAUCCUCUGGCAUUGUUAUUCUAUUCCACAAGUAUUUUGCUUUAAAGUUGAAGGAAAUUUAACCCAUAUAACUGAGUGGACAAGUGGAGCAAUGUUCUAAGUUGCUUUAAAUGCCGUUCUACCCUUUUUCGUAAAACAAAAGUCCUCUCACUAUAAUUUUUCAUGAUAAUUUUCUUGUAUCCGAUGCUCUCAACGUUGUUUCACUUGGCAGCCUCUGGAGCUUUGCAUUGUGGCAUCAACAAUGGAGGAUGCUGGAGAGAAACCAGAGGCAGCUACACUUACUCUGCUUGCGUAGUAAGUAUUUCGUCUUCUAUAUUAAUAUCUAGUUCUUGAACAAUCGUCUUCUUAACCUAGAGUGAAACUUUUUUUCUUUUUUUUUUUUAAAUGGAUAUUUCAGGAUGAUCAUUCAAAUGGUUGCAAAUGCCCACUUGGGUUCAAGGGCGAUGGAGUAAAGAGCUGUGAAGGUACUUUGUUAAGGAAUAUUUACUAGCAUCUGUAAUCAUGCGGUUUAAUUGAGUGUUACCAAGUACAAUUUGUAAACAUAUACAUCCGUAAAGUGGCGUAUAUGUGCAUAGUCCUAAUAUAUACACUAAGAUGUUUUGGAGAAUUCAAGAUGGUAACUGUAUUGUAUUUGAUUGAAUGUGUUAGAUGUGGACGAGUGCAAAGAAAAAAAGGUUUGCCAGUGCCCAGAGUGUAAAUGUAAAAAUACAUGGGGAAGUUAUGAAUGCAGCUGCAAGAAUGGUUUGCUCUACAUGCGUGAACACGACACUUGCAUUGGUAAACAAAAGAUAUCUCUUCCUUUGCUCAUAUAAUGCCCAUAAUUAAUGUGGAGUCAUUAAUCAAACUUUAUGUUUCUGCUUUUGAAUGUGAAAGGUUCAAACAAAGUUGGAACGACAAAGCUCAGCUGGAGCUUUUUGUGGUUUCUUAUAAUCGCAGUGGGUGUUGCAGGUCUUUCCGGAUAUGCCGCCUACAAAUACAGGAUCAGGGUAUGUUAUGCUACUCUCUUUACCAUAAUACAUAUAUUAUGGAGUUUUUGCCAUGUAGAUAAGAUGUUUGAAGUAACAAAAAAGAAAACAAUGGUGCAGAGAUACAUGGAUGCGGAAAUAAGAGGGAUCAUGGCACAGUACAUGCCUUUGGAAAGCCAACCCAAUCCACGUGGUCCGCAUAUGGAUAUAUGAGUGAAGUUAUCAACACAAAACCAAGAGACUCUCUCUUAUCUGUAGGAAGCUUCUUCUAUGUUUCUAUGUAAAUGAAUGUAUAAGACUCUGAGAAAAGCCACACAAGAAAUAACUAAGUGCAUCUGCACUUGUUGUAAGGGAUGUGGAUUUGCAUAUGGAAUCCCUCUUUCUCUGCAUUACUCUUGCAAUGUAUAAUAAGAAAUAAAUAAGUAGUUGAGUUACGUUUAUUUACUAUUGAGACUUUGCUUGAUGUUUAUACUUAUUCCAGCUCCUCCACUCUGUUUCUCAAUCUGUUCUUUCACUUGAAUAUGUGAUUCUUGGAUAAACCUUGUGUGCUUCUUUGUGAGCUCCUCCUUGGUGUUAAGCUUGUCCUCCAUUACUGCAAUCUUCUGUUAGGAACAGAGCAGACCAGAAACUGACAAGAAAAAAUGUGUUUUGGGAGUUUCACAUUGUUGGGUCUGAAGGUGAACCAGAAACUAACCUUCCUGAGACUUUCAGCACUUGCGGGAUCGUGAUCUUCUCGCUUCAAUCCAAUAAAAUAAAGCUGCAACUUCCAUGAAAUCUCUGGCGUGACGCUCAACAUCAACUACAGUGUUCAACGAGAGGAUAUAAAUAUCACAGUGCAUCAUCAUUGAUCAGCAGGCAACCUCGAUGAUCAUCGAUAGGAUCAAUGCGUUGUGUUAUGAUCACUAAAGAUGAUAACAUUGAUAAGUUAAGCAAGUGAGCGUAUCUAAAAUGACAUAUUCUUCAGCAGAAAACUCACAACUUCCAUUACUAUCAAUCAAUCACCAAACAAGAAGCCAAGGCAAUGCCUUUCACACUAAAACUUGAAAUGAUCAAAGGCCAACCAUGAAGGGAGAUCGUUCGAGGUCAAGAUCGAGAGUAGAAGAUGGACUGACUUUGAUAACAAGGAUGAGGAUAGUGGUAGCUCUCUAGCUGGCAAACAUGGGAGCAGGCCAGCUUCCGAUUCCGUCUCACAAGCCAUAAUGUCCUCUAUCUCGUGGUUCUGACUGUUCUACGGCGUCUCCGGUGAUCUUAUUACAGGAGGACGGUCAGACGGAGACGUCGCCAGUUGGUGCUGAUAAAUCCAUUGGGCUUUUUAUUGAGCCUAGUUUUACAUUCUCUAUUGGGUUGACUGUUUUCUAAGCCCAAUAGCUUUGGGUAAUGUUUACUUGGUCUCUGUAUAUCUCCUUCAGCUUUGAUAGAUACAGUUUUAAUGGUCUUUCAUGCAAUAGUAUAUGCUUAUAUGGUCUAAAAAGGUCAUAAGAAAUCUAUCAUACAAUAGUAUAUGCUUUGUGAAUCCUCGUCCAUUUUUUUUUAUAAUCCAAUGUGGUAAACCGAUUUGUACCGGACAUUCCCAUAUACCAAACUAAAAUCCCUUAUAUAUGAGAAACACCGUGAUAAAUGCAUUCACACUAUAAUAGACACGUGACAGCUUCACAAUGAUUUGAUAAUAAGUAUGUUAACGCGUUCACACUAUAUUCAUAAAUGUGUUCACACUACGUACUUUGCGUUUUCUUUUAAUCUAAAACUCACAUACAUGUUUAUAAAACUCUGGAUUUUUAGUGUCGAAUAAAAAUAGACAACGAAUCAAAAGCCAAACUAUAUAUAUAUAUUUUUUAUUGUUUAAGGAUAAAGUUAAGCAAAAUAUUCAUAAAUUUUUAUUCGAUUCGUUAUCCGUUUUGAAUUGAACCAAAAAAUUUGGAUAUCCGUAACUCUAUGAAACAAAUCAAAUACUAAAAUACAAUAUCCAAAAAAGAAGCAAAUCAAAAAUACUAAUAUUUUUAAGAACAAAUAUCUAAUUCGAUCUGUUAUAUGCAUAUAUAUACAUAUAUGUAAAUAAUUAUAUAUAUAUACGUUAUAUAUUAUACUUUAUAUCAGUUUACAAUAUUUUUAUGAACUAAAUUUAUUAUAUUAGGUACUAGAAUUUAAAAAGUUAAAUAAUGUUUUAUUUUUGUAAUAAAAUGUUAUUAUUAAAAAUUUCAAUUAUUUUUAAAAUUUUAUUUUUUACGGAUCAAAUCAGAUAUUCUUUAAAAUUCUAAAACAUUUCUGAUAUCCGAGUCACCGAAUAUCUAGGUAGCUAAAGAUCGAGUCGACACGAAUGCUUCCAAAUACCCAGAUAUUCGAUCUGUGUCCACCCCUAUUUACGGAUACAAUUUUAUUUUCUUUAUAUGAAAAAAUGACUAAUGUCAAGGCCCUUUUUAUUUUAAAUUAAUUUUAAUUUUAUCUUUCAUGUAUUUUUUAAACAAAAAUGUCAUUUAAUAUUAAUUAACAAUAUCUUUAUAUAUUUGUCAACUAUUUUUAUAUACUUUUUACAUACACAUACAUGUGCACUUUGAUGUGAGUACUUUGUAACUAAGUAUUCACCACAACUGAAGUAUCUAAUUUUUUUGAAAGUUGAAAUAUUUUUUCUUAAUGUUUCUUUCACCAUAAUAAAAUGUUAUUAUUAAAAAUUUCAAUUAUUUUUAAAAUUUUAUUUUUUACGGAUCAAAUCAGAUAUUCUUUAAAAUUCUAAAACAUUUCUGAUAUCCGAGUCACCGAAUAUCUAGGUAGCUAAAGAUCGAGUCGACACGAAUGCUUCCAAAUACCCAGAUAUUCGAUCUGUGUCCACCCCUAUUUACGGAUACAAUUUUAUUUUCUUUAUAUGAAAAAAUGACUAAUGUCAAGGCCCUUUUUAUUUUAAAUUAAUUUUAAUUUUAUCUUUCAUGUAUUUUUUAAACAAAAAUGUCAUUUAAUAUUAAUUAACAAUAUCUUUAUAUAUUUGUCAACUAUUUUUAUAUACUUUUUACAUACACAUACAUGUGCACUUUGAUGUGAGUACUUUGUAACUAAGUAUUCACCACAACUGAAGUAUCUAAUUUUUUUGAAAGUUGAAAUAUUUUUUCUUAAUGUUUCUUUCACCAUUGACCAAAUUGUAGUGAAAUGAUUUAUCUUAAUAAUUUUCUUUUCUUUUUCUUAAACUAUUAUAUGUUUAGAAACUAUAAUAUGAAAUUAUUGGUUCGACAUGACGACUAUCUAAAAUUCAUAACAUGAAAAUAAACAAAUAAUAUUUAUUUUUGGUUUUUACCGGAAAAAACCAAAAAAUCAAACAUUUUAACUGAAUAAACUAAAAUGAAUAUUAAUUUAAAAUAAUAGUUAUAUUUUAGAAGAUUAAAAAUAAAAAAAAACUUAAAAUCGAACAAAUAUCCAGAUUAAACAGAUUUGAUGUCUUUUUAUUAAAAAUAACAAAACUAAUAAUCACAUUUCGGGCAAGACCGGUUAUUACCUAGUUUCAUUAAUAAAUGGCAGACACUUACUAUAAUCAUUUAUGUCCAUUAUGAAUGCAAUAACUCAUUUCUUUGAGUUGUGCUAGUAGCAUCCAUGUCAAUAGUAAUUGUUUACAUGCAAUAAAACUCUUGCGGUUUGUUCUGUAGUAACCUGAACCUCUGAAACUGUCAAACUGUGGCCGAGUCUAAAAUUAAUGAAUCUGAUGCUAGUAGGUAGAUAUCAUUUAUGAGUGAAAAGAAAAGCUUUUACACAAAACACAUCUCAUUCUUUUCCUUCUGCAUCACAUCAUCCAGGUGAAAAGAAAAAACAACAAAAACUUUAGAUAGAUAGAACUCGCACUUUAACCAAGUCACAUAAGAUUACGAUUAAACUGCUAAGAACAAGGAAAACAUAUGAUCUCAGACAUCAAUCCUCCCGGUCGGAGACAGUGCGCUGCUCCGGUUUCUAGGAGACAAGUUAACAAACUCCAAAGCCUGUGUUCUGAGCUGAACAGGAUAAUCAGCUGCACAACCGAUCCUUGGACCAGCUCCUGUCGACCAUUUCAGCAUUAACUGAUGACCCAACUGUAAAGAUUUCGACUGUUUCUUGGAGUUGAUCCUUUGUAAGAUUGCUUUCUGUGGAACGUCAGCUUUUGGGCUUUCAAGCCCACCUGAAAGGGUUCUCUGGUAACUACUCCGUUUGAUCUCCUCAAGUGUUCCGUUGCCGUUUUCAUCAGUUUCAGCCUCUGCGUUGGAUGGCGUUGGCUCCUCUUUCUUUAAAGACUUGGUCCCAUCUCCAUUGGGUUUAAAGUAAUCAUCGUAGCUGUCGGAAUCUUCACUAGCUUUGUGCACCUACACAGACAAAAGUAACUAUAUUAUUAGCUCUCAAGUAGUCUCUUCUCAUAUCAUUUGGUAAUCAAGAUUUGAUUCGUGUAAGGUUGAGUAGAACAAGAGUUUACCUCAACACCGUCUAGAUUCACUGCGUUCUCUCUGAGAAACGAGAGAAAUAUGUCAAGGCUAUCAUCUGAUGGCUUGUAAUGACCACUGUAUGCAGAGAUUGUCUGAAAGAAAUGCAAGAAGACAACGGAGACAUAUCAAUUACAAAAACAUAACAAAGAUACACAAGGCCAGAGAUUUCGGGGGAUAUAAGCAAUUUAAUAAGGAUCUUAAUAAAAAACUUUUUUUUAACAAUUUUGGAGGCAUAUGUCUAUAUAAAUUAUCUUUUAAAAUUUGAAAGCCAUAGGCCAAUGUGUCAUUUGUCUAUGUCCACGACAGGCUCUGCCGCAGACAUAACUUAAGUUGCAGACUUGGUAAAUUACCUUGAGAACUCCAUUGUCAACAACCACCCUCCCUGCGGCUAGUGUUGCUCCUCCGGCCAAAAAGCUUGAGUGAUGGAACCUUCCUUUCUUCUUCUGAAGUAGACAUAAACCAAAAACUAUUAACAAUCUUCUUCAAUUACAAUUAUCAAGUUAUACAAGGAUAAACAGGUUUUCAAGAAGACCUACCAGACCGGCAUAUAGUUUCUUGAAAGUACUCAUAACAAAGAUCCACUUUGUCCCCUCAGAUCCGUGCAUGGUGUGUAGAAACUGUCCGGUUAACUUGUGAACAAUCUUCCCUUCAAUGAUCUCAUACUCAUACUCUUCCCUCUCUUGCUGAUAAUGAGAAAAGAUUCACAUGAGAAAUAGCCAAAAUAUGUUAAAUAAAUAAUUGACAAGAAAAGUAUGGCACGUACAGGUCCAAGAUAUCUGAUGCAUUGCUGCUUAAGCUUCGACCUUGGACAUUCUACCAGAUCCAGAUCUUUCCCUUCUCCAACAUCCAACCUGCAAGAAACCGAUUUUUCACAUUCAGAUAAGAUUUGUUUUCUUGUGAUCAAGAAAACAAAAUGAACCUUAGAUAGUCAUGGUGGAUUUUGAUUGUAUAUGUUAGAACCGAAAAACAAAAUCAAUAAAUGGUUUACAAAAACGAAAACAAAUGGUUUAUAUAAACCGGAAAACAAAAAUUACAGUUUUUUGUUAAAUAGAUAUAUUGUCAACAAAAGAAUAGUCUCCGCUUUAAAAGUGCUAAAUCUAGUUUAGUUUAAAGGUGUUAACAUACCAGUAGAAAAAUGGCUGACCAGCAUCAGCUUUGCACCACACUUCAUAGUACAAAUGCAGGUUGUGUCCAUACCGGUGCCUAGGAUCAAUCUGAUUAUAAAAGUUUCAUGUUGUUUAGUCUUCUUGUUACACCAAAAAAUCAAUUAAUCUAAAUAUUAACAACAAACAAAAAGAAGAUAAAAGUAAUUACAGCUUCAAUCCAAUGCUGAAAGGCCAAUUUCUCAGCUUUGUCGACUAUGGACAGACCCUUCCCCACCUAACCACAAGAUUACAAAAACCCUUAAACCAACUGGAUUAUUUUUCUUACAAUAAUAUUUUUUUUGUAAAUUUUCAUCUUGACAUAUAUAUAUAUAUAUAUAUAUUUUUUAAUAUUUUCUUACAAUAAUACAUUUAUUUGGGAAAUUUUAUCUUUACGUUUUUUAAAAAUAUUUUUCUUGCAAUAAUAUUUGGUUGAGAAAAAUUUCAUCUCGACAUAUAUAUACUUGAUAUUUUGCCUACAAUAAUACUUAUUUGAGAAUUUUCAUCUUGACAUAUAUUUUUUUGUUUUCUUACAAUAAUACUUUUUGAACUUGGUUUACAAUAAUACUUAUUUGAAAAAAAAAUCAUCUGGACAUAUAUAUAUAUAUAUAUAUCUACACAGAUAUUUUUUUAAUUGGAAAUCAGAUACGACUCUACUUUUUCAAAAAUAAAACAAAAAUCAGAUACGACUCUCAACGCUGAGACAUUUUCAGAUAAUUUUUCUUACGAUAAUAUUUAUUUCAGAACUUUUUGAUAUUAUUAAGACCAAAAGAAUAAGGCACCAGACAUACCUUAGAAGCAUUCAAGCUCACACGAUUCCACCUGGAAACUGCAGUUUCAGGUCUUGAGUAAUCAAAGAAUGAGAUCGUACUAUGAUUUAAUCUCGCAUAAUCCAUCGCUUGCCACCUUUAUUAAAUCAUUAACUAACAUUAAUCAUUCAAACUAAUCCCCUCCAUCUAUUUAAAACGUUAGUAAAGAUUAUUACCAGAGCUCUUCGGCGACAACCACAGAGUCCGCUAGUCUCCGGCGCGUGCGAUAACUCCUGUAAACCUUCUGCACUUUCACCGCCGCCAAGCUAGAAGGCGAGUCAGGACACGCGCCUUCAAGGGCCUCGGUGAAGUUAGCGAAAGAUUCUGCUCUGCGGUCUACCGGAGAAAUGAGGAUCUCUCCGGCGGCGUGAGAGAACGGCGGAGACUGGAAAUCAAACUUGGCGACGACCUGCAUCUUCUUCUCUUCUGAGAAAAUCAGACCAAACUUACUUCGAUCUUUAAUGUCUGAACAAGAAAUGGAACUUAGAGAAGAUCCAAAGGGAAGACUUGUGUUUCUCUGCUAUCAGUGUGUGUUCUGUGUAUUUAUUUAUAUAAAAAUAAGUGGCUCGCCUCUAACCCCGGUCCCCGAGGACCAUUUCUUUUAUCUUAAUUAUAUUUUUUUUUAAUUUUCUAUCUUUUAUCAUUUUUUGUGAUGGAAAAAAAUCUUUUAUUAUAUUUUGUCAAAAUACUUAUUUCCAAUUUUCUUGUGAGAAAUAGACCGGUAAGAUUGUGAAAUAUUUGGCACCGUUGACUGUGACUAUUUAAUAUAUCAUCGAUUUUGUGAAAAGAAUGAAACCAAUAUCAUUCACUAAAACCUAAUAUUUUUGUUAUGUUUUAAGCCCUUGAAAUUGUGUAGCUGUAGUGAUUUUUUGGGGGUAAAAAGUAUUUGUAGUAAUGUUUCUUGACAACUUACAUUUAAAACUUGAUAUUUUUUUUUUAACACUGAGUAUAUCAUUAUAUAAUUUCUACUACGAAUCAUGAUAAACAGCCGUAAUAUAAGUGAUAUUGAUGAACAACUGCACUGGCAAAUUCACGAUGAAACUCUUUCCGUAACAUUUAGAUCGAGAGACCAUUUUACUUGUAAGACAUCUUUAAUGGACAGACUUUUUAUACAUUACAUGAUCGCAACAAACGAUUAUAUCUGCAUUUCUCUGAAAUCUCCGAUAAACUUACAUCAUAUAAUCUGCAAAAACUGAAUUCUUUGGGAAUCGAACUUUAAAUCUAAUGGAGAAACAUUUAAAUUUUAACCACUAUGCCAUUGUGCUUCAAAAAAAUAAUUAGUUCAAAAGUUGAUCCAUAUGAAAUUAAGUUUCAUAAUAAGUGUUAUUUUAACUUUUUUUGUUACAAAAAGUGUAACUUUACAAUUUCAAUGUAAACUAUAUUUACUUUCAGCUGCAAAUUAUAUUUACUUUCAGCUGAAAAUUAAUUGAAAACUACAUUGAUUUUCUAAAUAAUUUUAUUUAUCUCAAAUACUAUUGAUUAGAGGAAUAUAAUUAAUAAUAAUUUACAUAUAUUUCUGCUAUUUUUUUAGUCUUCGUAGAAAAUGUCAAAAUGACGUUUAUUUAGAAACGGAAAGAAUAUGAUUUUAACAAAAUGCAGAUAAAAUGGUACAAUUAACUCGUAACACUGUUUACAUACAGCUGGCAAUGUCAUAAAUACACAUGUCUAGCUGUCUACCAUGAGUUAAUAAGGGAACAAAAUAACUAACUCGUGUAACAGUGUCAAUGAAUAAUUCCGGAUUUUGUACUAUAGUAAUAAUAUUGCUUCAAGUGGACUCCUGAAAAAUAUUAAUUCCCGUAAGUCAUAAAAGCAAAAACUAAAAAAUAUUAUCAGGGAAAAUGGAGAAUAUAAAGAAUUUACGUCAAUUUCAUGCGUCAUUUAUAAUAGAUGGUUUCUCAAUUGGUAAAGAUCUAUAACCGAAAGAGUGCUCAAAGAUACUUUGAAGAUUCAAUGUCUCAUGGAAAGCUUCGCAACAGUCUAGUUAAUACAUGUUUCUUAGAUUCAAAACACAAAGACAUAUAUUCAAUAUAUUCUUGAACGAGGUGCACGUAGUCAAUUGUUCUAUUUCAUUUUCAUGGAUGAUUAGUCCAUUUGUUGGUUAAAAGAGAUCUGUUUAUCAGAGAAUUUGUUUACGCCGAUGAAAAAAAAAUAUUAUUAGUUGAAUUUCUUUUUUUUGUAAGCUUCAUUCUUAACUUAAAUAAAACAGAAAAUGUUAUAGCCCAUAGACUUUAGUUUGUUUAGCCAUAGUACAUAUCAAGGAAUUUGGUCCAUUACCCUUAGUUCUAGGACCCAAAUGAAGCCCACAUGGUUGAAUCAGAAACGAAGCGUUGAAGUUUUUGGAGUGGUGACGUUGGCGUUCACUGAAAUCGAAUCCAACUCAACAUCAUCGUAGACGAUCUGGUCGGGUUUGUGUCUCUGAAAGAUUGAAUCUUGUUUAUCAGUUGCAUGUCCAUUAGUCUAAAAACUUGAUCCACUGAUCGAAAAGUAGAUGCAUGGAGGCGUGUGCUAUGCUCGUUCCAGAGCCAGUACAUGGUCGCUUGCCAUGCUAGUCGAGUAAGGAGUCGCUGGUGUUGCGGAGGGGGGGAGGGAGAUCAUCUGAUUCAGGACUCCCUGCCAAUCUCUAAUCAACAAUAUCUGCAGUCUUCUCACCACAAUUUGCCACAUAUCACAGCUAUAGUUACAUGAGAAGAAGAGAUGAUUCCGAGAUUCUUGACCUGAGUUACAUAACAGACAUCUCUCAUCAACACGAAGUCCCCAACUGAUUAGUCUAUCACGAGUCGGUAGUCUGUUCUGUACAAGAAGCCAGGUGUGGAAACUGUGGCGAGGAAUGGCUUUAGAAAUCCACACAGCUGCUUGCCAUCUAACAUCUAGUCGCGGAGCACACAGAUAAUCAAAUACCACACCAGUUUUGUAAGUCGUGUGUACCUGUCCAUUGAUUUCCCAUUCGAAAUAGUCUUGACUUGUAGUCAGUUGGAUGGUUGUCAGGUAGGUGUACAACUGUAUCUGCGCAUCUAAACGAGCUGGUGGUAAGCGCCAUUAUAUGUUAGUGUAGAUAGAGGAGACUGUUGCUUGAUAAGGGAUCCCACGUCUUGAGGUAGUACCUGAUAAGUAAGUGUUCAGAGCACCAAAUGGUGUCCAAUUAUCUGACUAGAAUCGUGUUGUUUCUCCAUUUUACAGUCGCAGUUUAAUGAGUGGAAACACAACAUCCUUCAUCUUGAGGAACUUGUUGACAAGCCAUGAAAAUGAUUGCUUCGGAGGUGUUAUCCAGUAGUUAUGCACUGAGCCUUGCAGAAUAGCCUCCUUGAACCAUUGCACCCAUACUGAGUCUGGCCUGAAGAAAAGAAGCCAAAGGAGGCGGAAAGUGCACGCUUUGUUCUAGGUUCGAAGAUCCUUAAUUCUCAAUUCUCCUUGUUUCUUUGUCAAUACCACAGUUUCCCAUGAUACCCUCGCUGAGUUAUGACCUUCAAUGUUUCCCUUCCACAGAAAUAAGCUGCAGAGGGAGUUUAUUCGAUUGAUGCACGCUUUGGGCAAGAUGAAAACAUAGCACCAGAACGUUGUUAUCCCUACAAUGACUGUUUUGAUUAAGAGAAGCCGCCCAGAGAAGGAGAAAGUCUUAACUGACCAUGAAGAGAACCGAGAUUUGACUUGAUGGAUCAGUGGUUCAUAGUUGGUGACAGAGAGCUUUCGGGAGUUCAGUGGAACACCCAAAUAGCGAAACGGGAGAGAUCCUAGAGUCAUUCCAGUUGAAGCUUGUAUCAGGUUAGUUUCUACCUUAGUCAUUCUCGAUGCAUAAAAGCUUGUUUUUUGCAUACUCACAGGCAAGCCUGAUCGGUCCUCAAACUCUUUCAGAACUUGUAGCACCUGCUGGACGGAUGUAAUGGAACUAUCUAUGAAUAUAAAAAGAUCAUCUACGAAUGAGAGUUGAGUAAGUUUGAUAGAGGAGCAGUUUGAAUGGUUAUUGAAUCUAUUUUUCCUCGCUGCUCUGUUGAGCAUAUGUGACAAGCAAUUCAUCGCAAUGACAAAUAGAUAGGGUGAGAGAGGGUCUCCCUGCCUAAGCCCUCUCUUUUCUUUGAAGUAACCAUGAAUUGAUCUAUUAUAACCAACUGUAAAAUUUGAUGUGCAAAUGCAGGCUUUCGACUGGCGGAUGAAACGACUUGGGAACUAAAGACCUUCAAGGCAGGAAAACAAGAACUCCCAAGAUAGUGUGUCAAAGGCCUUUGCUAUAUCAACCUUGAUGGUAAUCCUUUUAGAUCCCUUGUUCUUAUGGUAACCAUUUACAAGCU